UGCGGGUAUGGCGGAAUUGGCAGACGCGCCAGAUUUAGGUUCUGGUGGGAGACCGUGCAGGUUCAAGUCCUGUUACCCGCAU
rnacentral:tRNA from 1 species